rnacentral:rRNA from 1 species
UACGGAGGGUGCAAGCGUUGUCCGGAUUUAUUGGGUUUUAAGGGUGCGUAGGCGGCUUUUUAAGUCAGUGGUGAAAGCCAACAGCUCAACUGUUGAACUGCCAUUGAUACUGAGAAGCUUGAGUACAGACGAGGUAGGCGGAAUUUAUGGUGUAGCGGUGAAAUGCAUAGAUACCAUAAAGAACACCGAUUGCGAAGGCAGCUUACUAGGCUGUAACUGACGCUGAGGCACGAAAGCGUGGGGAUCAAACAGG